rnacentral:lncRNA from 1 species
AUUUGGGUGACCUCAGGAAGUGAGUAGGAGGAAUUCUUUUUUGAGUAGGAGAAUUGAGUGAAUAGGAGAAAUUCUCUUCUGAAUUUAUUGGGAUUUUCUGAGAAGGACCCCAUUCUUUGUUGGAAAUGUUCUAGAUCACUAAUUGAGAAAGAAAUGUGAAGGCAAACAGGCCCCUCAAAGCCUACUACCUCACAGAGGGGUAGAACAGGAUAAGAAGUGGUCUGAGGAGGUAUCAAGAGAGAAGAAAGAGUGUGAAAAUGUUGUAAAAGAGCCCCUGCUCUUGGCUCCUGCUCCUGGAUUUUGGCACCAGAUGAGUAGGAAAGAAAGGACAUGAACUCAACAGUCCAAGCAGGUUUAUUGCUAAACCUGAGAGGGACCUCUCUGAGCAAGAGGAAUCAAGAUGUGUCAGCUGUAGGAAAUAAGGUCAUCUAUGAGAAGGAAGUGAGGAACAUACAGGUACAUGUCUAGCAUGGCAUUCAAAACACAUGAACAGCGUGC